rnacentral:lncRNA from 1 species
GAAUUGAGUCUGACCGUCUUUGAUAUUAGGAAGGAGAGGUGUACAGCUAGGCAGCGAGCAUGCUAAAAUCUUUUCCAGGAAACGGUGUUUGAAGAGUUAAUGGGAGAAAAAAAGACGAAAAUUAGCCAGAGGAGACGAAUUUGGUAGAGGGGGAAGCCCUAGGGACAGGAGAAAAUAGGACCAGAAAGGGAAAAAAAAUAGAAACAAUAACAAACUAAACUCGGGCCCCAGAAAAGGCGGCAGGGGUCCUGGGCAUUCGCGUCGCAGCCCUGGCAUGUCGUCUUGCCCGGCCC